rnacentral:rRNA from 1 species
AGUGAACGCUGGCGGUAGGCCUAACACAUGCAAGUCGAACGGCAGCACAGUAAGAGCUUGCUCUUACGGGUGGCGAGUGGCGGACGGGUGAGGAAUACAUCGGAAUCUACUUUUUCGUGGGGGAUAACGUAGGGAAACUUACGCUAAUACCGCAUACGACCUACGGGUGAAAGCAGGGGAUCUUCGGACCCUGCGCGAUUGAAUGAGCCGAUGUCGGAUUAGCUAGUUGGCGGGGUAAAGGCCCACCAAGGCGACGAUCUGUAGCUGGUCUGAGAGGAUGAUCAGCCACACUGGAACUGAGACACGGUCCAGACUCCUACGGGAGGCAGCAGUGGGGAAUAUUGGACAAUGGGCGCAAGCCUGAUCCAGCCAUACCGCGUGGGUGAAGAAGGCCUUCGGGUUGUAAAGCCCUUUUGUUGGGAAAGAAAAGCAGCAGGUUAAUACCCCGCUGUUCUGACGGUACCCAAAGAAUAAGCACCGGCUAACUUCGU